GUCACAAUAUUUAAGAUGCUUGUAAGGUCCAAACUUGUCCUGAUAUAUUUUGUAUUGCAGAGCGCAUGUCUUAGAUUUAAAGGUAAUUAAACAAUACUUUUUGCUUUUUUUAACACUUGUUGCUUGCUCUAACCAACUGCAAAACCAUUAGAUCUUAACAUGAGCAGUUUUGUGGUUUAAUAUAUAAAUACAUGCUUUACCAUCAC